rnacentral:rRNA from 1 species
GAUGAACGCUGGCGGCGUGCCUAAUACAUGCAAGUCGAGCGAACAGACGAGGAGCUUGCUCCUCUGACGUUAGCGGCGGACGGGUGAGUAACACGUGGAUAACCUACCUAUAAGACUGGGAUAACUUCGGGAAACCGGAGCUAUACCGGAAUAAUAUUUUAACCCCCUGGUUUCAUUGUGAAAAGCCGUUUUUCUUGUACUUAUUCAUGGAUUCCGCGCCGCAUUAGCUAGUUGGUAAGGUAACGGCUUACCAAGGCAACGAUGCGUAGCCGACCUGAGAGGGUGAUCGGCCACACUGGAACUGAGACACGGUCCAGACUCCUACGGGAGGCAGCAGUAGGGAAUCUUCCGCAAUGGGCGAAAGCCUGACGGAGCAACGCCGCGUGAGUGAUGAAGGUCUUCGGAUCGUAAAACUCUGUUAUUAGGGAAGAACAAAUGUGUAAGUAACUAUGCACGUCUUGACGGUACCUAAUCAGAAAGCCACGGCUAACUACGUG